UACAUGCAGAGGUGGAGCAAGACAUUCCACUUCUUGCUCCGCCUCUGCAUGUACA
ensembl:miRNA